UCUGUGAACGACCAUCGACAAAGCUGGAUAUCCGCAUCACUACACGAAAUAGUGAAUGAAUGAAAUUGUCUCCCUCUGAGGAGAUCGUCAAGCGUGGCUAAUCAAGGUACCAAAAGGAAAAUGAGUAGCUCGGAGGAGGUAUCAUGGAUUUCAUGGUUCUGCGGGCUGCGGGGGAACGAAUUCUUUUGCGAGGUGGACGAGGAUUAUAUUAAUGAUAAAUUUAAUUUGACGGGGCUGAACGAACAAGUGCCGCACUAUAGACAAGCCCUGGAUAUGAUUUUGGACCUUGAGCCUGAUGAUGACUUGGACGAUAAUCCCAAUCAAUCAGACCUUGUGGAGCAGGCUUCUGAGAUACUGUAUGGACUGAUACACGCACGCUACAUAUUGACCAACAGAGGUAUUGGUCAGAUGUUAGAAAAAUUCCAAGCCGGCGACUUUGGACACUGUCCCAGAGUUUACUGUGAAACUCACCCUAUGCUGCCACUUGGUCUGUCCGACGUGCCCGGCGAGGCCAUGGUUAAGGUGUACUGUCCGAAGUGCAUGGACGUGUACACGCCGAAGUCGUCGCGCCACCACCACACCGACGGCGCGUACUUCGGCACCGGCUUCCCACACAUGGUGUUCAUGGUGCACCCCGAGUACCGGCCCAAGCGGGCCACCGUGCAGUUCGUGCCGAGACUAUACGGCUUCAAAAUCCACCCGCUCGCCUACCAGAUCCAGCAGCAAGCCGCGGCCAACUUCAAGGCGCCGCUGCGGUGCCUCUCCUACAACAACGGUAAACGCUAGGGGCGCGCCGCGCUCCCGCGCGCUCUCAGGCGCGCAGUCCGCUGACGAUCCUGACUGAGCCUUGGGCUGGGCUGAUUGGUCGACGGAGCCCGCCGUCUCAUAUAUCGAGCGACGAAACCUUGCUGACAAUUGCCAUCUGACCGCUUACCAUGAAUUGCGUUGUCCCGCGCGACUCCUUGGCCUUACAGUCUUAAAUUAGUAUACAAUUUUGCACUUUCUUUCAAUGGUUCAAUGUGAAAAAUGUACACAUAUUUAUGACUUUGUGAAGUGUUAGUUCAACAAGUAAACUUACUUACCGUUACAAAAAUGUAUAGAAAAUUGCUAUUGUCAGGUGAUAAUUGUCAAUAAAAAAAAUAGACGCCUGAAGUAUUAAGUUCUAGUAGUAAGAGCAUUACCAGGCAAUGGACCAAGGGAGGGCAAGUUGACUUCGCCGAAGGAGAGAAGAUGAAAGGCACACGUUGUAUGUAAUAUUUGACCGCCCUAACUUCCCUGCUGCCCUGGUGACGCCCUUUCUAGACGACGUGAAUGUCUACUGAAUGACCUGAAUUCAUAAAAGAAUUAAAUAAAAUGAAAUGAAAUAAUUCUGAGACCUAGUGCAAAAUUGAUUUUGGGUUCGGUCGCAUAGUGAUGAAUUUUCAGUACAUACACAUAUUACAUUUACCAUGAGUAUUGCUAAGAGUUGAAGAAACAUUGUAUAUCUAAGAUGCUACAAUUUUCACUUUUUGAGCAUCCGUUAGAAUGCUGAUAUAUUUGAUGGCGUCUGCAUUACAAGUCUAGUCAACCAAUGAGCCCAGGCGACGCUGUACACUAGUUAUUAUCCUGGUGUAUAAUGUGCACCGAUGUAUGCUCAGACACCGUCCUAAAGAAAUAUAUUUAACUGGAUAAUAGACAAUUAAAAUAACUCUCGCUAUUGCUAUUUCCUUAGAACGGUGCAGUAUACACGUUUGAAUUACAUUGACAUUUCUAUGUUCGUCUUUCUCAGUCGGGUUAUAUUAUAUAUAUUUUGGCGAACACCGCACACUACGUAUGCAAAACAAUAAUUAAAUUUUUGUCUUUUAAUAAAUGUAUGAUAUGCAAUAAAUUUAAUGUAUAUUUAUUAAUAAUAUGUGUUUUAUUUCCAUUUCCAUACAUGGUGUGGGGUGUUUUUAAGUCCAUUUAAUAUUUUAACUGUAUGUAUCCAGUUUUUAAUCAUGUAAGUGUUUUUUUCUAUAUGAUACCAAUACUAUUCUUUAGUCAACCGCUUAACUUAGACGGUCGAUAAGAAGUUGUGAGUUCAGUAGGUACAUUUGAUUGCUACCCAGUGUGCUUUCCACUAGAAAACCGUCUGUGUUAAGUGGCAAGGCUAUAAAUAAAUGAAGAAUGCUGUGCAGGAUACUUCUAUGUGAACUUUACUCUUGAGCGCAUAAUUUUAAUUCAAUCUUUCCAUAGAGUCAGGUGAUUUUCACACUGACGUCGAUUCUGCUAACUUUAUUAAAAAAAAAGUACUAAUAAUUGGUUAAAGGUUGAGUAGAACCUUUAGUGUUUGAACGCUGUUAAUAUGCUUCGAGCUUUAGUAGCUGCUAUUUUUGUUAUUCCUGUGAACGCCGAACUUCAUAUACUAAAACUUAUCAGGCACACCGAGAACACGGGGAAAAUUAUGAUAAUUUUUAUACAAUGUUCGAUUAAUUAAACGAAGGAACUAUCCUGAAUGCGUACAAGUUAUCCAUCAUGUCUCUGUUAGAAAAAUAACUAUACAGUUUGUCCAUCAUAUAGUCGCUUCGUAUUUGUCCGAGUGUUUCACUAGGGUGGACAGGCCAGAAAUCAGAGACUGAAAAACCGGAAAAGACCGGUAACCUUAUAAAGGUAUCAAUUGAAUAGGUAUCAAACAGUAACGGUACCCGAAUAAAAUGACAAAAUACCGGUAACCUAAAAUAAAGGUAUCAAUUGAAAAGGUACCCGAAUAAAUAACGUUUAAUAGGUACCGUUUACAAAGCUAAGCUUGACCGUUUCAAGUAGAGGUGCCUGACCGAAACUUGAGCCGUUAUUUCUAAUUUUGACCUCAAAUUCAUAAUUAAGAUCCGAAACCGUUUUUAAAGUACCUUUUCAGUCCCUGGCUAGAAUUUAAUAUUGUGUAGGUUUCAGUCGGAGAACGUGAUGUAUAAGGACGUUAUAUAUAGUGUAUAAUAGAUAUGAAACUGUCGGUUAUUUUAAAUAUAAAAUUCGCUUCAUUCAAUUUUUUCAGUAGCUAGUCGUUUCAAUCACCAUUUUCAUUCGCCUCUAACUCAAUUUCGAGGCCUGAGGGCCUACCGCGAAAACCGAAAUUCGCCAAUUGCGGGGAUCUUUCUCUUUAUUUUCCACCCAUUUUUGUGUGUAAUUUGCCCUCUUAAAAUUAAAUUCCAGAACGUGCUUAACAUGCUGGAACACGGAUGCCCUCAAAUCGAACGUUGUCUAGCGUUUCAAGCGCAGGUUUUUUUGACAUACAGUUUGGUGACAAGGAUCUCUGCAAUUUUUAUUUGUCGCUCAGAGUAUUUUGUAGUUUGGAGCAUGACCAAAAUCUUUGAGUAAUUCGUGGUUGUUUUUAAAUAUCAUCCAAGUAGAUUUCUUCGUGUGCCCAGAGAUGGCGUUUAGACGCGACAAAGACACACAAGUAAUACACCAGGCCAAAAUUCGUUUAUACACCUCCCCUACUGUUAUAUUUAUAUAAUCAAAUUAUACAGCUAACAGUUCUGUUGCAUGAAUAAUAAUUACUGUUGAAUUAAUUAUUGACAAGAAAGCAUUUGUCGAAUAAAUGUAAUUAAAAUGAUUUAGAUUAUUAAAUGUAGUAAAGUAAUAUUUUGUUAGUUUAUACGUCGCUCGAGUCGUUGUGAUAAGGUCUUCGCACACUAUCAACCCAACAACCACUAAUAUACGGUGGGUGGCCCACGGUGGUGUUGAAAUGCUGUGAAGUUGAUAUAGUGUCCGAAGCCCUUUAUAUUGGUACCGACGGAUAAAAGUAUAAUAGACAAACAUAGUUGAAGAACACAUAGUUUAGAGCGCCGUUAAAAACGUUACGAAACAGAUUUUACAAACCUAGUUUGUUUUAAGCCAUUUCGUUAUUUACCUUAACGUCCUCUAAUCGAAUGUUAUUUGAAUGGUGUACUGCCUUUUUGCCGAAUUAUGUUUCGUCAAAUUUCAUUUAGCAACCAACUUUUCGCCGAAGUUUAAUUUCGCAAACCAAUCCUUGGCAUAAUUUUACUUCGUAUUUUUUUAUUUCGCUACAUUUUUAUAUUGCAAAAUUUUAUUAGGUCAAAGGAGGGUGGUCAAAUUGGCCUAUUGAUCAAUAAGGACAAGCGAUAUGUCACUGGAUACCUUAUUCAAAGUUCUAAAACUUUUACUAUUGCAGCUUGCAGGUAAUCCCAAAUCUUUGUGUGAAAAAAGUUAUACUAAGUUAUACCUAUAUCGCUUUAGACUAUGAAGGUUUUCUUACUGUCGAUGAUUUUGAUUUUGUCUGGGCAGGCAUCCCUCUUGGUAUGCACCUGAUCUCCCAGCCGGGAUCUAUGACCUGCUUCGAGGGUUCAACAGGUGUCCCAAUCUCAGCUGUCAUCGGUUUGUCUUUAGAGGGCCCAGCUGUCGAAGGCUCCUUCGUCUCCGGUUCAGCCACCUGGGCUGGGGUUCCGGUAGGUACCCCGGCUUUCAGUGGCCAUUCCAGCUUCGAUGGCUCCUCCAUGGCCAUGCCACUCCCUAUCUGUUUCGCCCACCUUAGUGCUUCAGUAUGUGCCGUCUCAUCUAAGGAGGUCGUUUGUUUAUUAUUUGCUUUUUUUAGAUUUUUAUUAGUUAUUCCUAUAUUAUUAUAGCUCCCUCUCAGCCAUGCAUCCAUCGGCACGAUGAGUCACACCUUGGAUUAGGGUUUUUGGGGUCGAGGUUGUCUCCUCCAGGAAAGGGGGGUAUAUGGAUAAGAGGAUCAAGACGGGAAGGGGGGUUGGGAGGGUUGGUCUAGGUAAUCCUCUCGGGGCAUGGUUGCUUCGGGAGAUACCUGUGUAGGAGGGCGGGACGGGAACCGACAAUGCAGUGUCACGACUGCUGCGACGCUGAACAUACGGCGCUACACACGCUGGCGGUGUGCCCAGCGUGGGCAGAGCAGCGGGCCGUAGUAGGUAGAGACCUUUCCUUGCUAGCGGUGGUGAAAGCCAUGAUUCGUGGGGAGAGGCGAUGGGAAGCUGUAGCCUCCUUCUGCGAGGACGUGAUGGCGCAGAAGGAGGCGGCGGAGCGCGGCAGUGAGGAAGAUCCGGCCUCUCAGCCAAUGCGCCGCAAGCGCGUGGGGCGGCGGCGGUUAGCAUACGACCGCCGAUUACCCCCAUAAGGGUACCUGUGGGCGGCAGGCUCGGGGACGUCUGCCGCCUACACUAGGGUCCCUGCGUGAGCGGGCGCGACGUUGAUCAACGCGCUCACUGAGGUGGAGGGGUGAUUUAUUCCCUACGAGUCGAGUCCGAGUCCGGACCCCUGCGUCCCUGGGACCUCGCCCUAUAGCACUGAGGCGACAACAGAGGGGUUUUAGUGGGUAAACCAUGGGUCUCAGCAGCCUUAUAUGGGAGUCCCACAUAACCAUCCCAGGCCCGUACCCGCGCCUGGGCGGUAUGCGUAACGCAUUUCUAAGGUUUAUUAGGAAGAUUGGGGGUAUAAAGGGGGAAGGGAUAAAUGGGUCGUUUUCAUGGCCCUCUUCUUCCGAGCCUACCCACGCAGGACAACUUUCCGCUGAAUCGACUUUGGUUCCUUGACGUCGUCGCCCAUCAUCCGGUCCGAGAACAAGUCUCCUACCGGAUUCCAGAAGAGUAACAUCUGGUUCCCUAGUCGAUUCAUCAGAAAUGUGUCCACGUGAAGCGGCGGCUGAAAGAGUGCCGUGCUAAGACCAACUUAAACCCUAUAUAUAUCAGUAAAAAAUUCUUAUUGUUGGGAUGCUUUUAUUUUGCCAUAACUUGUUUCACACAGCGAUUUAAGAUUUCCCGCCAUACAUAAAGUUUUAGAAAAUGAAAAAACCUUUCAAAUGUUGGUUUGUCAUUAUUGGUUUUUAGGCCAGAGUCCAUAUGAAUCUGGGCAUCCUCCUUUUAUGUGGUAAAUAAUUGUGUAGCAAAUGAUUUUCUAAGGCAAACAACAUUAUUAUAGGUAGGUUAGGGUUAUUUUUUUUAUGACCCUAAAAACGAAACUGGUCCCAGAGAUAGGUAGGUUAGGCUUAUUUUUUUAUGACCCUAAAAACGGACGGAUCAUGCUUAUUUUGGCACGUUUUAUUGGAUUCAUUAAUAAAAAUUAAAAGGAGAUUCUUACCUGUAGAUAAUAACUCAAGAAUGAAAUGUUAUUUUGAGCCACAAAGUAUGUAAAUGAAAGUACCCUCUUAAUUUAGCUGAAUGGUGCAUCACCCUACCCGCUUAAAGGUCUUCUAUAUCAAUUCCACACCAACUCAACUCACUUUUGGUUCAGCUUAGUGGACGACGCGUAGACCACCCGACAGUUACCUAAAUGUUAAACAUUGUACUGUACGACAUACAAGAUAAGGCUUUAAUAAUAAUAUUUAAUUUUGAGUCGAGUGGCUGUUGAGUUGUAAUAGUGUGCUAAGACCUUAAUGCAAUAAAAUCAUACUGCAUUUUGAACCUUGCAUUCUAACAAACUAGGUUAGAUUUCAUAAUGCCAUUCAAUAUGUUGCUAAGUCAAGGUAUGCCAAUCAAUACGUUUGACGAAAACAUAAUUGAGAUCUUUAAAAAAUCCCAGGUAAUAAUUUGUCUAACGAUAAUUUAUCAAAUCAUUAGUUGGGAAAUGAUAUCAGUGCGAAACGUUGAGUUGGGAAAUAAUAAUUUGACCAAAUAAAUAUAUGGGAUACGUAGUUCGGGGAGUUAAGAAUUUGCUAAAUAAUUUUCGUCGAAACAUUAGUGAACCUAUUUGAAUAGAUGACCUUAUUAUUUAUAAAGGUAUAAAAUCAAAUGUAUGAAAGUUUCAAUAUAGAGUUAAUUAAGUUUCUAUAUAAAGUUUCAGCUAUUUACUCUACUCACAAUUGACAAUAGCAAAUUCUACCGCAUCCCUCGUGUAUGUCAUCUUCAACUAUGCAUGUCUACUGUCGUUUAUACGUACCUAUAUUACUAAAAUGACGAAACACUUACAAUGGUGCAAACGUAGCGUUUAGCACACCCUAGCGUAAUGUAGUUUGAUUAUUUUUUAUUGAAACAUAGACAAGAGAAUAAUAAGACGCGUUAAUUGGCCCACUAAUCAACAGUCCACUGUACGGUAUUAGCCUGUCAGUGAGAACAAAAAGUUAACAGUUUCGAACUGACGGGCCGAUACCGUCCGGCGGACUGUUUAUCACUGGGUCCCUUUAGAGCUUAUUAAUACGCAUGGUUUUGACAUAUAUAGGGUCGCAUACCACGCCGUCGUUAACCUUUUGAACGCCGAGAUAACCUAUAGUCGUCUCUAAUAGUCGCGCCCACAGCGCCUGGGACAACUGUUCUAGGUGUUAUGGCGGACGCUGUUAAAGUGCCUAACCUUCAACACUUUCAAGUAAGGUAUCAUUAGCUAUAUGACGACCGAUCUGGCGUAGUGGGUAGUGACCCUGCCUAUGAAGCCGAUGGUCCCGGGUUCAAAUCCUGGUAAGGGCAUUUAUUCGUGUGAUGAGCAUGGAUAUUUGUACCUGAGUCAUGGGUGGUUUAUAUGUAUUUAAGUAUUUAUAAAUAUUUAUAUAUUAUAUAUAUCGUUGUCUAAGUACCCUCAACACAAGCCUUAUUGAGCUUACUGUGGGACUUAGUCAAUUUGUGUAAUAAUGUCCUAUAAUAUUUAUUUAUUAGCUCUAGUCUUGUGUAGUACUGUAUUAAAGUAAAAAAGACGCAAUUCCGUCCGCUUUACUAGAUCGAACUAUUCCCUAAUGAUGAUUCUGCUCUUAGUUCAUUUUAGUACACUACUCGCGAAACAAAAUGGGAGCUAGAAGUGACAGUGACAGUAAAGCGAUCCGAGUGAUCCGACCGAACGAACGGCUCUCUGCUAAUAUGAGCGAGACAGCCCAUAGCCGUUACUCCAUUGUAACUGCACGGGAGAAAGCGACAUAACAAAUUUUUAAUUGUACUACCUUACAAAACGUCUGCGCAAAUCAUUCCGUUACAUUAUUGUGCUCAGUUUUUCUCGGUGUUCUACUAAACUCAAAGACCGAACUAGUCCAUUUGUUAGAUUGUACUAGUUCGGAGCGAUCUUUUCAGUGAAUGGGCACGCACAACUCUUAAAUAUCUCGCUAUUGCGCCCGGAACCUCCGCGUGUCAGUGACGUUUUUAUUUAUGACAUAAAGCGUUCAAAAGGUUUGAGAAUACAUUUAGUUACCAUAACACGACGCGUGCAGCAUCCUUUAUGUCCACUCUGAGGCGCCUAAAACGCCUCGACCUUUAUGCGUCGUAUUAUUCGUUUGUCUAUAUUUCGUACUAAAGCAAUGAUAGUGGAUAUAUUUUGUUAGUAAAUCCGUAAGAAUCCGUUUUCAUUGUAUUUACGUAGCUAUUUUAGGCCCGCGCGCCUAUAUUAUAUCCCAGAGUCCCUACCGCAACAAACGAAAAUCUAUUAUCAAGGAGAAUUUGAAAUAUAGGUGGAUUAUCAAAGUAAACUUUGUAGCCACAGUAAAUUUACUGCCAUAUUUAAACACGUGAUUCAAACUUUUAGAACGUCAUCAAACAUCAAACAUUUAUUCAGCAAAUAGGCCACAGAGGCACUUUUACAUGUCCAUUUUUACAAACAAUAAAAUUACAAAAAAACAAUUACAAAUAUGGAAUCAAUGAAAUAAUAAAUACUUUAUUAGAGAUGUAUAGUGUCUCUAAAUGUCAAAUUACACAAAAAAAAGUCUCCAAGGCUUGGCUCAUGUAACUUUGAUCCUUAUUCUUUCAUUGAUAUGUGUUACAUUUAUAAAUUUAAAUUUGCCAUCGCUCGAUAAGAUGCCGCCAUACUUUUAGCCUAUGCUCUAGUAGAUGGCGCUACUGUUUCAAAUUUAACACAUAUCAGUGAAAGAAUAAGGAUCGAAGUCACAUGACGUUCUGAAAGUUUUAAUCAUGUGUCGAAAAAUGGCAGUAAAUUUACUGUGGCUACAAAGUUUACUUUGACAAUCCACCUCUAAGAAUAUCAAGUUCUCUUUGCUAUUAUACACUGUCAGAACGCCUUAUAAAUUAACUCUUUAUUUACUUUCGUAAUACGGCUUGCCGCGAUAUGUAACCUUAAUAUACGACCUAAACCUACCUUACCUACCUUAAUACGACAUAAUUUAUCUUAAUUUAAAUAAUAACCACCCGAACAGGGGGCCUACCGCGAAUACCGAAAUACCUUUUGAUUGCAAUUUACAUGGGCUGUAAAUUGCAAUAUUACACAAACGUAACGAAACAAAAAUCGAGUUUCUUUAUCCGCCUUUCUAUUGCUCGAUAAUGCAAAAGCAAUAGAGAGGCAGAUAACGAAAUAUAGAUUUUUGUUUUUCGCGGGAGACUCUGAAACUAAGCAUCGGAAUGUCUAUGGCAUCAUGCAAAAAAAGCGGCCAAGUGCGAGUCGGACUCACCCAUGAAGGGUUCCAUACCAUUUAUGACGUAUUAAAAAAAACUACUUACUAAAUCUCGUUCAAACCAAUUUUCGGUGGAAGUUUGCAUGGUAACGUACAUAUAUAUUUUUUAAUUUUAUUAUUCUCUUAUUUUAGAAGUUACAGGGGCACACACACAUUUUACCACUUUGGAUGUGUCUCUCGCGCAAACUAUUCAGUUUAGAAACCUCAAUAUCAUUUUUGAAGACCUAUCCAGAGAUACCCCACACGUGGGUUCGAUGAAAAAAUUUUUUUUUUAAAUUUCCGUUCUAAGUAUGGGGAACCCCAAAAUGUAUUGUUUUUUUUUUUCUAUUUUUGUGUGAAAAUCUUAAUGCGGUUCACAGAAAAUAUCUACUUACCAAGUUUCAUCAGUAUAGUUUUUAUAGUUUCGGAAAAAAGUGGCUGUGACAUACGGACGGACAGACAGACCGACAUGACGAAUCCAUAAGCGUUCCGUUUUUUGCCAUUUGGCUACGGAACCCUAAACAUGACCAUCGAUACAUAUCACUACACAUUAUAAAACAAAGUCCCCCACGCGUCUGUCUGUUUGUAUGUAUGUUUGUUCGCGAUAAACUCCAAAACUACUUAACGGAUUUUCAUGCGGUUUCCACCUACCAAUAGAGUCAUUCUUGAGGAAGCUUUAGGUGUAUUAUUUGUAAAGGUUUUGUGGCUAUAAGUUAACUUUUCGUGCGGAGCCGGGGCGAGUCGCUAGUUUCCGAAAAAUUCAGCUGAUGUGAGGUUGCACGGUGCACCUUACUUAACCCAUUGUAUGUGUAAGCACUGAUCAGUGCGAACGAAUUUAAAUUAUAUUGUAUUAAGCUAUGAAUUUAAAUUUAUGCUCACGGAUCAGUGCUCAAACAUACAAAGGGUUAAUUGUUAAUGAUUGCUCUUUUCGUUUAUGCAUGAAAAGAGCAAUUAACUAAGGUGCACCUAAUAAUUUUAUAAUAAUAAUAUGUAUAUAAUAUAUGUAUAGGAUUCUCCGCCUCUGGCUUGCCUUAGCCGGCCGGCCAGAGUGGAGUCGUUAGAGCUAUAAGCUUCAGGGGUGGAAGUGAAAAAUUUCAUAAGACGCGAGUUGGCACAGUGGCUGCUCGCAGCCGCUGGGUAGAAAGCGGCGUACACCUCUCGACACCCCUGAGCCGCUCACACCGGUGUUGCCCUUAAGCCAUCCUAGAUGUCGCUUUUUGUGGGGGCCCAUCUUGCGGGGGCGAGUCACCGUCUGCCGGAAAUAAAAUUGAAUACGGUUUUAUUAGGCAGGCGUCCGGUUUUUUAUCCCGUAGCCCAGUAUUAGUCCAUCGCUUUCACCCAAUAGCCCAGUUCAUUUUAGAUUCCAUCAACUCUCAAAUAGUCCUUACACCCUGGCGGGUGCUGCCUCUGCGUGCGUCCCAUGACGCGGGCAAGGGCAACAUCCGCUAGGUGUACCCCUUACAUUUGAUUAGUGUCAAAAGGGGCUCUACGUGUUGGCUUCGGCUCCGCGCACGCCUCCCAAAGGUCCGGAACACCAUUGUUCCGUGAUGGGAAAGAUAUAUAAUAUAAUAUUAAUAAUUUAUGCAUGCUAAUUAUAAAAUAUUUUGAACGAUACGGAUUCUCUCGAAACAAUGCAAAAUGUUAAUUAAUUCCCAAAUCGAAAGGCAAAUAAUUUUGUAUCUGUGUCGACCAUUCUGUCACGUUUUGGAAAAUAGAAACAUUUGUUUCUUCUUAAAUAAUAAUAGCAAGGGUAAUUCUAAUAAGAGCUAUAAAUUGGUGCUUUUAUAUCCAACAUUUUUUAAAGAACCGUCUCAGACAGAUAAAAUUUUCGAUAAUAAACUGCAGUGAAUUUGGUUCCACUAAACUACGAUCGUUAAUUGCCCCAGACAGAUUUAGAGGCCCUACCGCGAAAAAAUUUAGUAUAAAUGUCUAUCUGCGUCCCUAUCGCUCGAAUACGCAAGAGCGAUAAAGAGGCAGAUAACGAAAUUUCGAUAUUCAUGUUUCGCGGGCCUCGGGCACUCGCGAUGUAUAAUGUAAUAUUCUUUCUCUAAAACCAAAUUUUGUGAAAAUUUUUACUAAGAUUCCUAGCAACGGGCCUUUUUGUGAUAAUUUAUUAAAAUAAUGAAUGUUAAUCUUGUUUCUGUGGUCGUUUACAUAAUUAAUUUAGAUUAUUAAAUAUUUUCUUAUAUACUUGUAUCGUUCUUAGUUCUUUAUGGUGUAAGCCUUAAGGUAAGGUAUAGUUUUGGACGUGAUAGAAAACUAAGUUAGAAUACGUGUUUUGACGUUGACGUACCAACAUUAUUAGUAAACUUUUCCUUUGAAAUGUACCAUAUUUAUAGCGAUUUACCUAUGUAUAAGCUAAUCGAUAAUAAUGCCACACUAUAGGAACGAAACACCAAUAUUAUUAACUAUGUCUACCUACAUAUCCCUAUUUAAUAACACUAGAACAAACACAUUUUACCUAAAAUAUUCUCGGUUAAAGUCCAUAUACAAAAGUGACAUAUAUGUUGGCGCGUAAGCAAUCUCAAGGUACGAGUAUCAAUGGAGGGAGGGAGGGGGGGUAGUAGUACUAGUUCUUCUACAGUCGAACCUAGAUGACUGCAUGACAUCUACAAUGAAAAAAGCCUAGCAAUGUCAUCGUUAAUGUUAAAGGACCAUGGACAACUUUGUAUGGAGUCCGGUCAAAAAACCAACAGAAAUUAGGGUUAGGUCAUAAGAAGCAGUACAGCGGUGUCAUUCACACGAACUCGAGUCAAUCGUGCAUUCUAACGUCACGACGCGAUAGGUUGACGAGUUCGCAACACGCGCGCGAUUGGUCGCAACUAGUUGCGUUAGACUGCGCGAUUGGCUCAAAUUCGUGAGUGACACCACUGAACUAGCACCAUUCUUAGUGCCCGUAAGGCCCGUCAUUAGAUAAAUGUCAAUGAACCCUAAGCUUUCAUAAAGAUCGUCACUGUGCCAAGGUACACUCUCCAAUAGAUGUGCAGGAUCAGCCAAGGUGAUCAAAAAUAUCUGAACAUGAAAUUUCAUGUCUUGAAUAUAGAGGCUUUGUUCGGAUAUUUGUAAACACUUUAGACGCUUCGUUAUAUCGAAUGGCGAUUGUACUAAGUGACAAAUCAUAUUUCUUACCUAUUGGCAGAGAGAAUUUGAAAUAGAGGUGGAUGGUCAGAGUAAACUUUGUAGCCACAGUAAAUUUACUGCCAUUUAUCGACACAUGAAUGGCGGCAACUUUCCCAGCGAUGGCGCGACUUUUUGAUAUUUAACAAAUUUAACACAUAUCAGUGAAAGAAUAAGGAUCAAAGUCAAAUGGUGUUCUUAAAGUUUUAAUUCAUCAUCAUCAAUGUGCCUCUAUUUCAAAAUCUCUUUGCUAUUGGUUAUAACUAUAUUUUUGGAGGCAAUGUUGAAUUACCCUAAAUAUAUCUAAUCUUUUGAACGCUUUACGUCAUAUACAAUAACGUUGCUCACGCCAAGAUAACGGCGCAAGGGAUCCAAUGUGAACCUUACUUGUAAGUGUGAAGGUUACUUUACAGACGACAUAGCGCUAAUAGGAUUUUCAUCACACUUGCUCGAAAAAGAUCUUAUUUCAUGCAGGUAUACUGAAGGACAAAGGCUUUAUAUCGUUCCCGCGGGAGUUAUGCGAGAAGAGAUUAAUUAAAAUAGCCUGCGUCUGUCGUGCUUCUAAAGAAUCCGUUUUCAAAAUUUCACUUAACUAAUUCUCCUUAUCCCCCCCCCCCCCCCCCAUUAUACUCUGCCUUAGAAACUGGGCCAAAGGGCGUAACAUUAAGCAAUAAUAAUACUAGAUAUAUCCGACAUAAGAAGUGUAGAGUGCCGUAGUAGCUUUCUUCAUGUAUAUUUUGUACACAGACACAAGACAUAGUUUAGACGUUGGUAGGAUAUUUGUUGUUGUACAUUUAACUAAGUUCAUUUUGGGCCGAUGUAUUUUGUCGUCGAUAUUUUUUUUUGUUAGAUGUCGACAAAAUUAGGUGGAUCCUUUGUGGUUGGGGGUCUAUUCUGUACAAUAUAAGUGCAAGUUCACUGUAUGCCCUAAAAAUCUUCAUCUGAGUUAAGAUACGAGUAUUUCUGAAACUACGGAAAAUUCCCCCUAUUUUUAGGGGCAAGUUUUGUUUUCGUAUUUAUUCCCUCCAGAAAGAGGAGCUUUUAUUUUUUAAAGUAUGUAAAAAUCACAAAUUAAAAUAUCAUAGAAAGUAAUUUAAUUGGUUCUUCGAGCCGCCAAACAUUAUCGAAAUCGAAAAAAUACGACAUAAAAUAAAAAUCGGCCCGUUUGUAGAUCAUCGUUAAUGCAAUUCGCGGGCGAAUUCUUGAGGAUUUUAGACCCGAGUGCUAGGUAUGAUUUUGUGGACGAUGCGAAAAUCAUGGAUCUUCGGGUGCGAACUGUAUUGAUUAUAUCGUUUUCAUCCCAUCUCAGCGGCUCAAAAAAAGAUACUUUGCAUUAUGAGCAUUUACCAGUGUUGACCGAACGUUAAUUAUAAUUAACCAUUACAAAUGGAACCGUAAACUGUAACCGUCCGUUAUGGUUUGCGGUUCAAUUUAUAAUGGUUAAUUUUCAAUAUGGUUAAUUAUAAUUAACGGUCGACCAACACUGGCAUUUACCCAAAAAGUUUAGUUCAAUUUCAAAUCACCAAUAAGUAUAGUCAGCUAGAGACGUGCCUGAUCGGGCGAUCACGAAGGGGUCAAAAUUAUCUAAACAUAACUUUAUUUCGGACACCCCGCUUCGUCAUUUCAUUUCUGCUGGCUGUACUCUGAAAUGACACCCCAGUAUAGUAGUUUGUACGUAGGUGGUAAGCUAUAUGUACGACGUUGCGUAGGUUAGACAACAGAGUAAACAAUGUAUUGUAGAAAUGGGGACGGGCUGGUAUGUCACCGUUUUGAUUAUAUACAUUGAAGUUCACUGAAUUUUGAGCCGCACAAAAGUUCCUCAUAGGUGCGCCCAUAUCUGAUACUACGCGCGUGUAACUGUAACAUGGGUGAAUCAACUUUUUUCUUGUCACUCGUUGCUAUGGUUACGGUCGUCUGGGUCACUCUUAAAAUCCUUGUUAUAAGGUAAUAAAUAAAACUAUAUUGUCGCCCGGAUGACGGGCCAGAAAAAUAAAAUAGAAGUUGAUCCACCCUCAUAUGCCCGCGACACACUAUGGUGCUGCUAACUUUAACCCUUUGAACGCUAUUCGUCAUAUACAAAAACCUCACGUUCACGCCAAGAUCUCGUCCGCAAGCGUACCAAUAUAAACCUUGAUUUGACAAGAUUAUAUUUACAGCAUACGCCAUAUUUUUUGGCGUCCAAAAGGUUAAGAAAAGAGCUAUAUUACGAAUAUUUGGAUAAACACGGCCAAGUGUGUUGUAGGUGACUGCGCAGGCACUAUGCAUCCCUGGCAGCGAAUGAGUGAAAUGUCAAAAUUUGAAAAAUAUUAUGUUUAUAAUGACUUUCAUCCACUUUGUUCUGUCAGUUAACAGUGUGCCUGAUGAUAUAAGUAGCUUUCGAUUGGAGAAGGGGCCUUAUGCUUCACCUGCAAUAAGGACCUUUUUAUCAGUAUUUCUAUUGAAAUUUCAGAUGGAAAAAUCCUUAUUUCACUUGAAGCAAAAGACCCUUCUGUGAUGGAAACCCCACAGUACGGCAUUAUUCAGUGAUGUUAAAACGGUUUCAUACCGAGGCCCCAUUAGACGCGAUUGUAAGAGCAAUUAAUUAAGACGCUAGUACACACAUAAGUUUUUAUUUUUAUAUACGUUACGACUAGGAUAAUUGUUCAAUUGUAGUCGCGUUGUGUUGAGUAUGAGUAUGUUCUGUUGUAUCAGUUCGGAUAAUCAAUAAAUAUUUUAACUGUA